rnacentral:rRNA from 1 species
AGGAAUAUUGGUCAAUGGGCGCGAGCCUGAACCAGCCAAGUAGCGUGAAGGAUGAAGGUCCUACGGAUUGUAAACUUCUUUUAUAAGGGAAUAAAGUCACCCACGUGUGGGUGUUUGUAUGUACCUUAUGAAUAAGCAUCGGCUAACUCCGUGCCAGCAGCCGCGGUAAUACGGAGGAUGCGAGCGUUAUCCGGAUUUAUUGGGUUUAAAGGGAGCGUAGACGGGCCGUUAAGUCAGCUGUGAAAGUUUGAGGCUCAACCUUAAAAUUGCAGUUGAUACUGGCGUCCUUGAGUACGGUUGAGGCAGGCGGAAUUCGUGGUGUAGCGGUGAAAUGCUUAGAUAUCACGAAGAACCCCGAUUGCGAAGGCAGCCUGCUAAACCGCCGCUGACGUUGAGGCUCGAAAGUGUGGGUAUCAAACAGGAUUAGAUACCCUGGUAGUCCACACGGUAAACGAUGGAUACUCGCUGUUGGCGAUAGACUGUCAGCGGCUUAGCGAAAGCGUUAAGUAUCCCACCUGGGGAGUACGCCGGCAACGGUGAAACUCAAAGGAAUUGACGGGGGCCCGCACAAGCGGAGGAACAUGUGGUUUAAUUCGAUGAUACGCGAGGAACCUUACCCGGGCUUGAAUUGCAGACGAAUUGCUUGGAAACAGGCAAGCCGCAAGGCGUCUGUGAAGGUGCUGCAUGGUUGUCGUCAGCUCGUGCCGUGAGGUGUCGGCUUAAGUGCCAUAACGAGCGCAACCCUCGUGUCCAGUUACUAGCAGGUUAUGCUGAGGACUCUGGACAGACUGCCAUCGUAAGAUGUGAGGAAGGUGGGGAUGACGUCAAAUCAGCACGGCCCUUACGUCCGGGGCUACACACGUGUUACAAUGGGGGGUACAGCAGGCAGCUACCGGGCGACCGGAUGCCAAUCCCGAAAGCCUCUCUCAGUUCGGACUGGAGUCUGCAACCCGACUCCACGAAGCUGGAUUCGCUAGUAAUCGCGCAUCAGCCACGGCGCGGUGAAUACGUUCCCG